rnacentral:rRNA from 1 species
AAUCAACGCUGGCGGCGUGCCUAACACAUGCAAGUCGAACGAGAAAGUGGAGCAAUCCAUGAGUAAAGUGGCGACCGGGUGAGUAACACGUGACCAAUCUACCCUUGAGUGGGGGAUAACCUCGGGAAACCGGGGCUAAUACCGCAUAACAUCCUUGGAACGGAAGUACUGGGGAUCAAAGGAGCAAUUCGCUUAAGGAGGAGGUCGCGGCUGAUUAGCUGGUUGGCGGGGUAAUGGCCCACCAAGGCAAAGAUCGGUAGCCGGCCUGAGAGGGCGCACGGCCACACUGGAACUGAAACACGGUCCAGACUCCUACGGGAGGCAGCAGUGGGGAAUUUUGCGCAAUGGGGGAAACCCUGACGCAGCAACGCCGCGUGGAGGAUGAAGUCCCUUGGGACGUAAACUCCUUUCGACCCGGACGAUAAUGACGGUACGGGUGGAAGAAGCCCCGGCUAACUUCGUGCCAGCAGCCGCGGUAAUACGAGGGGGGCAAGCGUUGUUCGGAAUUAUUGGGCGUAAAGGGCGCGUAGGCGGUGCGGUAAGUCACCUGUGAAACCUCUAGGCUUAACCUAGAGCCUGCAGGCGAAACUGCCGUGCUUGAGGGUGGGAGAGGUGCGUGGAAUUCCCGGUGUAGCGGUAAAAUGCGUAGAUAUCGGGAGGAGCACCCUGUGGCGAAAGCGGCGCACCGGACCACAUCUGACGCUGAGGCGCCGAAAGCUAGGGGAGCAAACAGGAUUAGAUACCCUGGUAGUCCUAGCCCCAAACGAU